GUUGGUAUUUUAAUAAUCCAUUUCUUGAUUGUCGCAUUCAGUUACUGAAAUCGACAUUGUAAUUAUUUUCUGACCAUUCAUUUUCAAUGGAUCAUUUAUUUUGUAUUUGUUAAAUCGUUUCGUCUCGCUCUAUUUGGGUGGUCACGACAGAUGGCAGAGCGAAAUCACGUGACACCGGUCGACAGUGUUAAAAAGUUAGGUUAUUUUCGGAACCCACUGUGUUCGUGUGUUGUAUUGUCGAUGCUUAACAGCAACCCAGAACCCAGUGACUUGUUUCUACGAUAAAUUUUCCCGUUGUAGAGCACUCGUCGAUGUACAACUACUAACAACUGGCCAACCUGAUAGCUACGAACAUAACCUAACAUUUUCAAAGAAUUUUCCAUCUAAUUCUAACGAAGUUUCUGAUGAAUAGGUUAGAAUUGCAUGAAAUUCCUAUGGUUGGUCUUUUCCCUCUCUCUUUUCACUGUGAAAAAUGGCCACCAGUAUUCCAACAGCUGGUCCUCUUGACUCGUUAUCGUUACUUUCGUUGGUUUACUGCCGCUAAUUGGGCCAAACGAUGGAAUUUAUUCCCCAAUUAUGCCACAGCCAUGCCCUGUUUUACAUAAUUCCCUAUAAACGAUCGUAUCGAUUCUUCUUCACCCUCGAACCAACUCAACGAUAUCGAUUCUCCCAAUGAAAUCAUCGUGCCAUUCCCCCGAGCCGAAUCUUAUCAAAUUUGACAGAAUUUACUUAAAAAAAAAAACACGCUGUCGCUGAAAGGUAUACGGGACACUUGUUUAUCUCUGACGAGACGUAUCCUAACCUCAAAAUUAUCAUACGGUCAAAUGAAACUACGAUGGUUUGGUUCUUCGUGAUCGCUGUAGCUAAAGUGUAGGUCCGAUUAAAUUGAUUUUCAAAAGUCAAUUUAAUCGACCAUAUGCGUAAUAAUAUGUAGCAAGAAAUAUAAUAAUAAAACAAAUUAAAUUAUAUAAUAAAAUUAAAUAGUAAAAUAAUAAAACGUAUCUGACAGAAGUACUUUCCUACUUUACAAGCUCUUUAUCUGAAAACUAUUCAACUGUUCAAUUACAGGGCGGAUUAAGAAGUUUGUUUCAAACAAAUAGGAAGACUCACGAUGUUGAUACAGUCGCUGAUAUCUAAACAGCAAAUGUGUGUAUUAAAUUACUAUACAUGCGUAUACACUGUGUACGGUAAAUACGAGGAUAAAUUAGUGCUUUGUUUUUUAAUACGCAGUAUCGAAUAAUACAUGGUGGAGUAUCGGUGGAGAAUGAAUGAACGACGAGAAAAUUACGCUGCGUGUCAGAGCACAGUCACAGAAAUAGAAAACGAACGAUAAGAGAGGAAGAAAUAAGUAGACAGAACGAGCAAGUUCUAUUUUUAUUUCCGCUUGGAAUCGUCGACCUGAUGCACGAAGUGUGUACACUUUUUAUUCUCCCCCUCGUUCUAUUAACGCCUUGUCAACGAUGCAUUAAGGAUUCAAUUUUCAAGAAGAUUUGCUUUACCAAAAUGGAGAUAUUCGACUUCGAAGUUGAACAUUUUCAAAACUCUGUCUACGUUGAAACACGUUGCAUCGACACUAAAGCCUGAUUCACGCUACGAGCCUAAGGUACAGACACAGAUCAGGAUCGAUUGAAAUCUGAGAUUUUACAGUAAAACUAAACAAUCAGAUCCCGUGGCAAUCUCUUUCAUUUUUAUUCGUUCAAUCGAAGCGGGGACAAUGUCAUUUUCCAAGUAUAAUUUAAUGAAAAUCAUGCUAAUUUUGGAUGAGGAUGCAUAAGAUGGCUAAUGCGAUAUGUUUGCAGCAGUAACGUAGUAACGUGGAAGUUUGCAGGCCAUUUUUUUCUUAUUUCGAUCCACAAUUUCAUUUUGUCAGGUGGGUUUGUAAUAUAUUUUGCAACCGAAAUCCUAUAGUUUGCUGCAGGUUCCUACAAAUUCAAUUAAACGCUCGUCCUCCGUGUUCCUUUUCGACCGUUGACCGCAGUCUCGACCGCUAGCAAACCGACGUUACGGUCAACAGAUUUUCAUUUGGUUUGGUUUCAUCUGGAAUAUGACUUUCGCGUCUCAGUGUGUUUUAAGCCCGUUGUCCACGAAGCGUCGCUUCAUACACGCGUAUCAGAUGUGUCGAUGCUAACAGCGAGUAUGCGUGCGUGUAGUGGUUAUUAUAAAGUAACGUGCACCUGUUCGCGAAACGGCAACGACCCGUUUUCGUUGCUAUGCAUUUUGGAAGAAUUAUUAGAAAUUUACAGAGGCGAACCGUGCUUGCGGAACUUGAAAUCCAAAGAUUACCAUCGUGUAGAGAAAGAAACGUCGUAUUCAAAGUUAGUAGUCGAAUUAAUAGAGUUUGGCACUUCUGCGGAUAGAGCAAGUACAGUAAAGAAAAUAAAUAACAUUUAUUCGUACACAUCGUUCAACGUAUGGUCGUAUAACACAUGUAGGUAUAGUUACUCUUGCUAAAGUACCAUAGGAAUAAGUAGGCACAUGUAAUAGGUUCACACGAUCGCGGGUAGGGACCGUUUAGGGAACUUUGUAACUGACAGACUUACCGAAAAGUGUGUAGCUGGCUUAAUGGACCACGCUUGCGCCUUUACGAAGCGACGCGACGUUGCCGCGUGGACAGUGAGACUUAAGCCGACUUUACACUGUGACACUUUGGAGAAAAUUUGGAGAAGUAUAAAUUUGGCUUUACUUUUAAGGAAUAUUGUCGCGCUACAAAUACCUUAAUAUUUGGCUGACAUUUUCUGCGUCUUGCAUUAAUCUCUCCCUUCUAAAAUAAAGAAACGAUUCGACAUCCGUUUUCAAAUGGCGCUAUACACGAGGAAACGAAGUGGCGUUAAAAAUUAACGCACGCCGCGUGUCUUGAAUCGAUUUUCGUCCAUCAGUUACCUGCACUACAGCGUAUAGACAUUAGCCUCGUCUGGAAAAUGGUUCUCGUAUUAUUAUCUUUGACGAUAACUCAUUUUUCAGUUCUCAUGCUUUCUCUGUGAAUGAGGGCAGUUGAUUAUGAAUCAUUGAAUUUUCAGUUGCAAUAUUGCGAGUAAAAUUUAAUAUUGCAUAAUUGCAAUCUAGUAUAGUUGCAUAGCUAUAGUUUGUGAGAAUAGGGGAUCGAUCAAUUUAGAAUCUUUAUUUCCUAAAACAAAUCCAGAUUCUAUCGUAUCUUACAAAUUUGGAAUUGAAACCUAGAUAGCACACGAUGUCUAAAUUUGAAGUCUAUCUUACAUGUAUAUUUCAAGUCUUAACUGGUUCGAAUAGUACGAGCAUGAAAAUUGCAAUGUGAAACUUUCAGCAUAACCACCAUGUUUUAAAGGGUCAAGUAACCUAACCUCAUUUUUCGUGUCCGCGUGCCAUUAAACUAAUUAAAAUAACGGAAAACUAAAGAAUAGAUGGUGUCAAAGUUUCCUCAAACGAUUAAAUAAGUAGGCAGCUUUCUUCUAAAUUUGUAUAUUCUUUUAAUAUACUUAACCUCGCUUUUUGGCUACAUAUUGCGUGUAUCGAAAAUUUAAGAAUCUAAGAAUAAAAGUACUCGGAUAUUUGGAACAGUGAUUUGUUUUCUCGUAAACAAGUAUCUUAAGGUCAUCUUGCAAACUGGGUCUAUGAGUGUCGGGAACAAUUUGUCUCCUACUUAUUUCGUGAAAUAAUCCAUGAAAAGGGAGAUGUAAUAGCGAGGAAACGUUUUAAAGAACAGCGAACAGCCGUGGACGGACGGAAGAAUUGUCUGCGGACCUGAGGCUCGAUUGGUAGAGUAGAAUAGAGAAAAAAGGAUUUUCGAUAUCGAGUGGCAAAGGCGAGCCGCUGUCGAGUGUUCUCGAGGGCCAUUCAGAGAUUCCAAUUUGUCCUUCGUGUCGCCCCGACGUUGCACAAUAACCCAAGAAACUCGGAGAAAAAAAUUUACUAGCCGCUUUCUAUACUGCCGAAACAUUUGCAUAAAGGAGCUAUCCCUUUAAAAUUCUCGCAUUAUUUAUUUAUUUAUUUAUUUAUUUAGCAAGAAGAUAGAAGAGUACUUAUUCGUGAGAUUACCUUUAAAAAGUUGCAAUCGUUCAGUGAAAUAGAAGUAGUGUGUGGUAAAUGUACUAAAAACACGUAGUACCACGUUUUUGUCAUUCCUGUUGUAUCACAUUUACAUACUGAAUUACAAUUAUGAACAAUGAU